rnacentral:rRNA from 1 species
CAGUAGCCGCGGGAAUACGUAGGUGGCAAGCGUUGUCCGGAAUUAUUGGGCGUAAAGGGCUCGCAGGCGGUUUCUUAAGUCUGAUGUGAAAGCCCCCGGCUCAACCGGGGAGGGUCAUUGGAAACUGGGAAACCUGAGUGCAGAAGAGGAGAGUGGAAUUCCACGUGUAGCGGUGAAAUGCGUAGAGAUGUGGAGGAACACCAGUGGCGAAGGCGACUCUCUGGUCUGUAACUGACGCUGAGGAGCGAAAGCGUGGGGAGCGAACAGGAUUAGAGACCCCUGUAGUCCCUGUCUCUUAUCA